GGAGGUGGUGGAGACAGACAGCGGCCAGGGAGGGAGCAAGAGGGCGCCGUGGGAUUCUUGCUGGCGUCCUUCCAAGAAGGCGACUUGUGGGGAAUUUCUCGCGGAAUGAGUCCAUUUACGUAGCUUGGCGAAGUAGACCGGGGGGGGGGGCUGUGCUCGUUUCUGGGGCAGCUGCGAUCGGCAGCUUUUCGUAAUUAUCCGUUCGUAAUUAUCUGUGAAGACUUUGGUAAACAGCAGCCUGUUAGCCACCCUCGGAGGAUUAAAUCGGGGCUGCCCCAAGCUGUGACCAUGAGGAUGAACCCCACUGCAGAAUGGAUGGGCCCCCAGCUGACUUCAUGCCUUGGCAGGUGUGCUGGUGCUCCUGAUUUGGGGUCCUCAGAUCCCAGAGACCCGAGACCUGGCAUCUGCCUUCGGUUCAGGUUUUGAUCUCAGUGGGCGGGGAGUAGUGUCCAGGGGCCCUGGACACAGUUCACCAGGGGUCUUACUCCUGACGGCCUCCUGUGUGCCAGGCAUGGUGCCAAGCAGAGAAGCAUAAUGGUAAGGAGACCUAGACUCGGCCCUCGCCCUCAUGCACAUGCUGGUCCAGAGCG
rnacentral:lncRNA from 1 species